rnacentral:rRNA from 1 species
UACGGAUGGUGCAAGCGUUGCUCGGAAUCACUGGGCGUAAAGCGAACGCAGGCGGACUUUUAAGUUGGGUGUGAAAGCCCCGGGCUCAACCUGGGAACUGCAUUCAAAACUGGAAGUCUUGAGGCCGAGAGAGGGUGGUGGAAUUCCUGGUGUAGAGGUGAAAUUCGUUGAUAUCAGGAGGAACAUCGGUGGCGAAGGCGGCCACCUGGCUCGGUUCUGACGCUCAUGUUCGAAAGCGUGGGGAGCAAACAGG